rnacentral:rRNA from 1 species
CAAUAGCGUAUAUUUAAGUUGUUGCAGUUAAAAAGCUCGUAGUUGGAUUUCGGGUGGGACGCAGCGGUCUCGCAUUGCGUUUGUACUGCUGCAGCCCUCCUUCUUGCCGGGGGCGGCCUCUCGGACUUCACUGUCUGGGGGUCAGAAUCGGCGAUGUUACUUUGAGUAAAUUAGAGUGUUCAAAGCAAGCUUACGCUCUGAAUAUAAUAGCAUGGGAUAACACGACAGGACUCUGGCCUAUCGUGUUGGUCUAUAGGACCAGAGUAAUGAUUAAGAGGGACAGUCGGGGGCAUUCGUAUUCCGUUGUCAGAGGUGAAAUUCUUGGAUUUAUGAAAGACGAACUUCUGCGAAAGCAUUUGCCAAGGAUGUUUUCAUUAA